rnacentral:rRNA from 1 species
GCCUAAAGCAUCCGUAGCCGGCUCUGUUAGUAUUCGGUUAAAUCUAUGCGCUCAACGCAUGGGCUGCCGAAAAUACUGCAGAGCUAGGGAGUGGGUGAGGUAGACGGUACUCGGUAGGAAGGGGUAAAAUCCUUUGAUCUAUGNAUGACCACCUGUGGCGAAGGCGGUCUACCAGAACACGUUCGACGGUGAGGGAUGAAAGCUGGGGGAGCAAACCGGAUUAGAUACCCGGGUAGUCCCAGCUGUAAACGAUGCAGACUCGAUGAUGCAUUGGCUUAUCGCCAAUGCAGUGUCGCAGGGAAGCCGUUAAGUCUGCCGCCUGGGAAGUACGUACGCAAGUAUGAAACUUAAAGGAAUUGGCGGGGGAGCACCACAAGGGGUGAAGCCUGCGGUUCAAUUGGAGUCAACGCCAGAAAUCUUACCCGGAGAGACAGCAGAAUGAAGGUCAAGCUGAAGACUUUACCAGACAAGCUGAGAGGUGGUGCAUGGCCGUCGCCAGCUCGUGCUGUGAGAUGUCCUGUUAAGUCAGGUAACGAGCGAGAUCCCUGCCACUAGUUGCUAUCAUUAUUCUCAGGAAUAAUGGAGCGAAUUAGUGGGACUGCCGUUGUUAAAACGGAGGAAGGAGGGGGCCACGGCAGGUCAGUAUGCCCCGAAACUCUGGGGCCACACGCGGGCUGCAAUGGUAGUGACAAUGAGUUCCAAACUCGAAAGAGAGUGGCAAUCUCUAAACGCUACCACAGUUAUGACUGAGGGCUGCAACUCGCCCUCACGAAUAUGGAAUCCCUAGUAACCGCGUGUCAUUACCGCGUGGUGAAUACGUCCCUGCUCCUUGCACACACCGCCCGUCGUUUCAUCGAAGUUUGCUUUUAGCGAGGUGAUGUUUAAUGGC